rnacentral:rRNA from 1 species
AGCUCCAAUAGCGUAUAUUAAAGUUGCUGCAGUUAAAAAGCUCGUAGUUGCAUUUCCGAGGCAAGGGAUUAGUCCGACCUUUGGUGGGUAUUUAAUCCUCUUGCCUCGUCCUUGAGUGGUGCUUCUUGGUAUUAAGUUAUCGAGGAGAUAGCCGCUCAUCGUUUACUGUGAGAAAAUUAGAGUGUUCAAAGCAGGCUUAUGCCGUUGAAUAUAUUAGCAUGGAAUAAUAAGAUAGGACCUCGGUACUAUUUUGGUGGUUUGAGAACCAAGGUAAUGAUGAAUAGGGACAGUUGGGGGUAUUCGUAUUCAGUGGUCAGAGGUGAAAUUCUUAGAUUUACGGAAGACGAACUACUGCGAAAGCAUUUACCAAGGAUGUUUUCA